UGCAACUACCUCUUCCAGAGGGAUCUCUGCAACAGUCCCAUGAUAACUCCAGAGGUGAAGCCAUGCGAUCCUUUGAUCAGCAACAUUUUGGUCGUCACCAUGCUAAGAAAUCAGUGAUACAACUGGAUGAAGAAAUACAGAAGGUAUAUAGGAAUGUCAUUUUAAAAAAUGAAUACCAAUCUUCAAAGCUAUGUGAGGCACUGUACACCAAUUGCGAGGACAUGAUGGAUCGGCUUCAGGUUCUCAGACUACCUUCCAUGGCAAAGUUUAAUGCAUUUUUCUAUCAUAAUUGUAGCAGCAGCAGCGCAUGAUGAAGAUGUUAGGGAAAUUUAAGUCUCAAUUUAUAAAGGAUUAUAACCAAAGGCUUUUUAAUUGGUUGGUGGCCUUCUCCCUCGUCAUGGUCGUGAUUGACCGCUUUAUUAUAAAGUUCAUUUUGAUCGAAAUGGGAGCAUUGUUACUUUUUAUAUUUCUUGAGACCUACACAAGGAUGUUUUGGUCAGUAGAGUCACUGUACUAUGAUCCAGUU